UACGAAGGGGGCUAGCGUUGCUCGGAAUUACUGGGCGUAAAGGGAGCGUAGGCGGAUAGUUCAGUCAGAGGUGAAAGCCCAGGGCUCAACCUUGGAACUGCCUUUGAUACUGGCUAUCUUGAGUUUGGGAGAGGUGUGUGGAACUCCGAGUGUAGAGGUGAAAUUCGUAGAUAUUCGGAAGAACACCAGUGGCGAAGGCGGCCCCCCCUGGUUGGAUACUGACGCUGAGACGCGAAAGCGUGGGGAGCAAACAGG
rnacentral:rRNA from 1 species